GUCAAGAUGGUGUAGUGGUUUGGGUGUUUGAUUUGGACUCAAGGAGACCAUGAUUCAAAUUCCUGCUUGGGCA